rnacentral:rRNA from 1 species
GCAGGCCUAAUACAUGCAAGUCGAGCGCGCCCUUCGGGGUGAGCGGCGGACGGGUGAGUAACGCGUAUGCAACCUACCUUCUACAGGGGGAUAGUCAAUAGAAAUGUUGAAUAAUACCCCAUACGAUCUUUGAAUAGCAUUAUUUAAAGAAGAAAGUUCCGGCGGUAGAAGAUGGGCAUGCGUCCUAUUAGUUAGUUGGAGAGGUAACGGCUCACCAAGACCGCGAUAGGUAGGGGUCCUGAGAGGGAGAUC